CCGCGAGCAACUUUCGAGUGGAACUAACCGCUGAUUCUUCAGUGACAAACUUAGCUUGGGCUACAAAAAAAGUGACUCUGUGACUUUUUAAAAAGUUGUCAGGACGUAAAUGAUAGGAAGACAUUUUAGACGAUAAGUGGCCAGACCUGUCAAACACCUGUAUACAGGUGGAGGUUAGCAAACCGGAGCGUCCAUUACAGCUCACAGCACGAUGAGCGGCAUCAAAGUGUCAGUUGGAGAAAGAGAGUCACCAAGAGCAGAAGAGGAUAAGAGAGGCUCCCCAUCUGGAUGGAAGACAGUCCUCUGUGUGCCUGAUUAAUGGUGUGGAGAGACAGUUGCCAGUUCUGAAGCCUUGCUGUCUGGCCCAGGUCAAAACUUCCAGAAGGCAACCUAAUGUUAGUCCAACACACACACACAUAACCACAGACACACACGCACACACCGUAAAAAAAAAAAAAAAAAAAAAAACCCUCAGAGAUUAGAAUUUUUCUCAGAAGGACCUGCCUAAGUUAGUUUCAUAUUGUUCCCCAUAUGAAUAAGCAUCAAUAUGUGAUAGAGGGAUAUGAGAUCUUCAAUGAGGAAAAGAAAGGAAAGAGCAUUUUGUGUACUAUCUGAAUUAUCAUGUAGUUGUAAGUCACCAUUAAGUGUAGUUUAUGAAAAUGUUGGUAAGCAAUCCAUUCAUCUACGGUACACAACUGCUUUUUGAGU